rnacentral:rRNA from 1 species
GAUGAACGCUGGCGGCGUGCCUAAUACAUGCAAGUCGAGCGAAUGGACUAAGAGCUUGCUCUUAUGAAGUUAGCGGCGGACGGGUGAGUAACACGUGGGUAACCUGCCCAUAAGACUGGGAUAACUCCGGGAAACCGGGGCUAAUACCGGAUAACAUUUUGAACCGCAUGGUUCGAAAUUGAAAGGCGGCUUCGGCUGUCACUUAUGGAUGGACCCGCGUCGCAUUGGCUAGUUGGUGAGGUAACGGCUCACCAAGGCAACGAUGCGUAGCCGAACGGAGAGGGGGAUCGGCCACACUGGGACUGAGACACGGCCCAGACUCCUACGGGAGGCAGCAGUAGGGAAUCUUCCGCAAUGGACGAAAGUCUGACGGAGCAACGCCGCGUGAGUGAUGAAGGCUUUCGGGUCGUAAAACUCUGUUGUUAGGGAAGAACAAGUGCUAGUUGAAUAAGCUGGCACCUUGACGGUACCUAACCAGAAAGCCACGGCUAACUACGUGCCAGCCGCCGCUGUAA